rnacentral:rRNA from 1 species
GUGGGAUGACGUCAAAUCAUCAUGCCCCUUAUGUCUGGGCUACACACGUGCUACAAUGGUUGGUACAACGAGUUGCGAGUCGGUGACGGCGAGCUAAUCUCUUAAAGCCAAUCUCAGUUCGGAUUGUAGGCUGCAACUCGCCUACAUGAAGUCGGAAUCGCUAGUAAUCGCGGAUCAGCACGCCGCGGUGAAUACGUUCCCGGGCCUU